GCAGCCACCACCAUCGGCUUGCUGAACACCAGCCUCCCACCUGCGGCCACUACCAUCUGCUUGAUGACCACCAUCGUCCCGUCUCCACCUGCAGGAACCACCAUCAGCUUUUAAAACAUCUGAAAGAAGAUCUAACAUCGCCUGCAGGAAUCACCAUCAUCUUCUUUCAACACAGGUCCACCAUCCACCUCCCGUCUUUACCUGCAGGAACCACCAUCGGCUUUUAUAACAUCUGGAAGAAGACCUGACACCACCUGCAGGAACCACCAUCAUCUUCUUCCAACACAUGUCCACCAUCCACCUCCGAUCUCCACCUGCAGCCACC